GUCGCCUCCGAAAGGGAAUCGGAGGCGCUCAAAGGUUCCCACAGAAUGGUUGGAAAACAUUUGAAGAGUGCAAAGGCAGAAGGGAGCUUGACUGCGACACCGACGGGUGGAGCAGGUACGAAAGAAGGACAUAGUGAUCCGGUGGUAUAAAGUGGGAUUGCCAUCGCUCAACGGAUAAAAGCUACCCUGGGGAUAACAGGCUUAUCACUCCCAAGAGUUCACAUCGACGGAGUGGUUUGGCUCCUCGAUGUCGGCUCAUCGCAUCCUGGGGCUGUAGCAGGUCCCAAGGGUUGGGCUGUUCGCCCAUUAAUGCGGUACGCGAGCUGGG
rnacentral:rRNA from 1 species